rnacentral:lncRNA from 1 species
AGCACAAGCCGGCACAUUUCUCAGCAUCAUCAUAGCCUGACGAGCAUACACACCAACUACUUGUUCGGCACACACGAUCUCAACACGAGACUUCGGGUCGGCAAUAGUUCGGUAAACAUGUAUUUUAGGCACGAGUUUAAAUUGAACUUGCUUUUUAUUAGGCACGAGUUUGUUGGCGACUCGCUUAUUGUUAGACACGAGUUUACAAAAACUCGUCUUUGGCUAGGCAUGAGUUUACAGAAGCUCUCCUUCUACUAGGUUCGAGCUCUCAGUAAACUCGCCUCUGUCUUAGCAUGGGUUAAGUAAACUCGUCUUUCGCUAAGCACGAGUUUAAAGCAAACUCGCUUAUUACUAGGCACAAGUUCGAAAUAAACUCGCCUAAACCGUCAUAGGCAUGAAUGUGUCUAGUUCAUUGUCUAAUAAACCCUAUUCGUAAACUUCGCAGAGAUCGAUUCCAUCUCUCUCUACGAACUUGGGGGACUUAUUGUUGGGGGUGGAUUUACAUCCUUCUUCAAGGCCCAUUAGACAAGGAAUUAGACCCAUAUUGCUAGAAAGCCCUAGGCUUCAUCCUUCUAUAAAUAAGGAGCUACCUCCUUAUGAGAAAGGAUCU